rnacentral:rRNA from 1 species
CAAGUCGAGGGGCAGCAUGGUCUUAGCUUGCUAAGGCCGAUGGCGACCGGCGCACGGGUGAGUAACGCGUAUGCAACCUGCCCUUCACAGGGGGAUAACCGGGAGAAAUUCCGACUAAUACCGCAUACGUCCUCCGGGGGCAUCCCCGGGGGAUGAAAGAGUUAUCGGUGAAGGAUGGGCAUGCGUGAUAUUAGGUAGUUGGCGGGGCAACGGCCCACCAAGCCUACGAUAUCUAGGGGUUCUGAGAGGAAGGUCCCCACAUUGGUACUGAGACACGGACCAAACUCC